CCUACGGGUGGCUGCAGUGGGGAAUCUUGCGCAAUGGGCGAAAGCCUGACGCAGCGACGCCGCGUGGGUGACGAAGGCCUUCGGGUUGUAAAGCCCUGUGGGGUAGAACGAACUGGCAUCGGGCUAAUAUCCCGGUGUCUUGACGGUACUGCCUUAGCAAGCAUCGGCUAACUCUGUGCCAGCAGCCGCGGUAAGACAGAGGAUGCGAACGUUGCUCGGAUUUACUGGGCGUAAAGCGCGUGUAGGCGGUCUCGUUAGUCGGGUGUGAAAGCCCC
rnacentral:rRNA from 1 species